rnacentral:lncRNA from 1 species
AGUUUUCACAUCCUACAUAGGGCUCAGAAUUUGACUUCUGGGAUCCUGGGGAUAGCUUUAUAUGGAGGUGACACAAAGCUAGUGAUGUGCUGGAAAGCAAGGAAUCUGGAGCUAUGCUUUUCUCCUUUGGCUUGUCCAGCAUCUUUUAACCACUUGGAAGUGCUCAUGGGUGGGCCAAGAACAAGGAAACUGAAGUGUCCUUACCAGUGAGGGCAGCCUCCAUUUCUGCUGAUGCUAUGUGAAUGCUGAAUGUGGCUCCUCCACUCUGGGUGUUCCUUUUGUCAAUGGACAGUCAUCUACUGUGCAGAUGAAGAAAACCUCCAUGUGAAGAAACAUAGAUUCACUUCAAACCUGUUCUUUUUCAUUUACACUGAUAAAACCGGCACAGCUCCAGGCCACAAACCUUCUGCAGUCCUCGCGAGGGAUGCCAUCAUUUGCAUAGAAAUGAACAACACCGGAAAGAGACUUAUCAUGUGA